UCAUUCAAGUCAUUUUGUCAAAAACAAAUUUGGGUAUGAGCUUUCGUAACGUUCGGUUGUGUGACAGUUCAGUGUGGAAGUGAUAAUUCAAAAAAAAACGCAGGCGACAAAAACAAAAUAGGAACUACAUAAUAGAGCUACAGAAAAACAAGAAGAAGGACAAGGACCACAUAGGACCAAAAAAAAAAAUAGAUCUGAAGUUGACAGGACACCUGGUUGUGCAUUGCCUUGAGCAAGACGCGCAUAACCAAUAACAUGUACUGGGUAAAUGAUUAAAAAAAAAUCGAAACCCAAAAAAAAGGAAGAAGAAGAAGAAGAAAACAAAUUUGUUUGGUUUUGUUUUCAAAAUUGUUGUGAAGUUCUAUUUUCUAUUUGGUUCUAUUUUUUAGUCAUGAAGUAGUAUCGUGGGAUAUUUGAAGUUCUUGGGUACUGAAAAUUCAAGAAGUUUUAGAAGGAAAACAAGUUUUAAACUCUUGUCGUCUUAUUUUGGCUGGAAAAAUAGAGGAAAGUUCUGAGCAUACCAUCAAAAUCUGUGGUUUAUUCCUUCAGUAAGGUCCAAUCCCCACGAAAUUAAAGGAACCCCAUCUUUCACAAAUGGCAUGAGCAUUAGCUAAAUGUUAUGUUCUUGUAAAGCAGAAAAUAGUGGAAAAUGUAAACAUGUCUCUACUCUUGUUAAAUGUAAGUAUAAGGGAAGAUGUGAAAUUAAUGGAACAUUCAGUACAUGAGUUGAAAAAAAUGUUAACAGAUUGGCAAAUGAAGACCAUUUUUAAUUGAUCUAAACAUUUAUAGAAACAAAGUAUAUAGUUAAUAUAAAAUAUUUCCUGCCUGAAGUAACUUUGGUGUACAAAUCAAUAGUAACCAUAAUUUUUAUUCCCAGGGCCAGUGAGAAACAAUGUGCAUUUCAUUUCACAGGGCCGGUUGUUCGAACGCUAAUCAACAAUGAUCACUAUCAAAUAUUUUAUUUUUUUUUUUUUUAUUUACAUUAACGUGCUCGGCAACUAUGGCCACUCGCACGGUAUCAAAUAUUUAAUUACUGUCAAUGUCAUUACUGUCAAUGUCAACUUUGGUUGGGUUGCUGAAAACAUAAUUGAUUAUAAUUAUGAGAUUAGUUAAUCAAUUUACAUAACAAUUAUUAACAUAAUUGAUUAGCUAAUUUCAUAAUUGUAAGCAUUAAUUAUGUUUUUAGCAACCCAAUCAAAGAUGACAUUGACAGUUGUGACAGUAAUUAAAUAUUUGAUAAUGAUCAUUUUUAAUUAGCGUUGGAACAACGGCCCUAAGUGUUCUAAGGAAAGAUCGCAUAAGAAUAAAUAGAUCUGUACAAUGAAGAUUAAACCUAAUGUGUUUAACCAUCGAAAUUAUUGUAUUGUUAUAAAAAUAAUAAAUCUCCAUUUCAUAUUAUUUACACUUACAUACAUUAGCCUGGAAUUUCAUUGUGUCUAUAUUAGUGGCCAUAGUCACAAACCUACCCUAGUCUACGGAGGUACUGUCUUUCGCAGAUGUGGUAAUACCGGGUUAGAUACAUUAUUGCUAAAUAAAGUUUGUGAAUAGUAACUUUUCACAAAAUAGACAGUUUUAAUAGUUUUCACUGUACUUAAAUCUUUUUUACAUUUAGUGGUACAGUAGACUCCCGCAAGUUCGGCCUCGGUUAGUUCAAUCUCCGCUUAGUCCGGCCGGCUCUCUGAGCAUUAGUCACACACUUUGCACAUCAAAAAUCAUUAGAAAAGAAAAUUCAGAAAAAAUUACUGACUUUUUUUAAGUGUUUAAGAAGCCAAACCACCAAUGUGCAAUAAUAUUUUUAAAUUUUAUUAGGCCUAGAGUUCUGUAAGUAUUGUUUUAUAGUAAUGUAACGGUCUAUCUUUUGAUAUAUUAUGUUAAAUAUGUCAGAGUAUUCCUCUGUGUUGUCUUCUACUUAAUGUACAAGUGUUUUGUUUUUGCUAGAUCUAUACAAACAAUAAAUGGGCAUUUUUUAGAUAAUCAUCGGUUAGUUCGGCCACUUUUAAGUUCGGUCUAGGGUCCGGUCCCGAGGUGGCCGAACUUAUGGGAGUCUACUGUAAUAACAUAUUAUAUUUUGUUUUGGUAUUUAAAUUUACCUAAAUAUUUAUAGAAAUAUACUAUACUAAAUUCAAGAUGCAGUAGAAAUAAACAAACCAAGACACGUUAAAUGCUAAUACUAUGAGCCCUCCCGAAUCAUAAUUUACAAUGUAUAUACAUUGUAAAUCCAAAAUCAUGAUUUCCAAAGUUUAUACAUUGUAAAUUAUGAUUCGGGAGUGCUCCUAAUAGUAGGAUUUAACUUGUCUUGACUUGUUUAUUUCUACUGCAUCUUAAUUUUAAAUUUAUUGUAGAUGUGGCCAUCAUAGGACUCUUGCUUAUAGAUGCAAUAAAAUUAUUGGUUUAUUUUCAUUUUAAAUGUUAUACUUCCAGUAUUGUAUGUAGUACCUAGUAUUAAAACAUAUAUUUUUAAUUAAAAAUAUAAAUAUCUUAUUUUUAUAAUGAACAACAUUAAAUUUACUUCUUGUGGGAGUAAAAAAAAAGUUAUAGUAAAUAUUUUUAUCUCGUUUAGCUUUUGAUGAUAUUUGCCAUAUGUUUUUGUAAGACAUGUUUAACGAGUAGUCUAAGGGCAUAUUAUUAUACAUUGUUAUACAAAAUAGACAUAAAAUUUUGAAACUUUCAACUUCACUUUUUCAUUGUUUCAAUAUUAAAUCCCAAAUUUAGACUCUCCACCAUUUUCUCAUAAAAAAGUAUGUUCAGUUUUUACCCCAGGUAGACAAACCACCAAAAAAUUUAUGUUACUUAAGUCUAUAAGUAUUAAAAAAAUACGUUUCAUCAGAUACACAAAAUAAAUGCAACUGAUUAUGUUCAGAUAGUGGUGUCCCUCUUAAUUUUUAUUCCUAAAAACUUUAACUAUUAAACCAAAGUUUUAGUUAAAAAAAAAACAAAAUGUUUGCUUUCUGUGUGGUGUUACAAAAAUAAGUUGAAAUGCUAUUUAAUUUCGUAUUAUUUCCUGGUGAUCCUCUGCCAUACCAAUUUUACAUUGUUCUUACAUGCAAGCAUUUGUAAAUUAAUUUACCAUUAAAGGACGGCCCAAGGUAUAUUCAUCUUAAAUGGGUGGUUGUAGUUUUGUAUAUUUUAUUUUUAUUUUAGUUUUGUAAUAUUUUUAAGAACAAAUAAAAUAAUUAUUCUGAA
rnacentral:lncRNA from 1 species